GGUUGGAUCCCGUCCCGUCGGGGCGGGCGCACUACCGGCCGAUCUUCUCCGCCCUGUCGGCGAGGUCGAGCGAGAGCGUGCAAGUCGGGACCCGAAAGAUGGUGAACUAUGCCUGAGGAGGUUGAAGCCAGAGGAAACUCUGGUGGAGGACCGUAGCGAUUCUGACGUGCAAAUCGAUCGUCAAAUUUGGGUAUAGGGGCGAAAGACUAAUCGAACCGUCUAGUAGCUGGUUCCCUUCGAAGUUUCCCUCAGGAUAGCUGGCGCUCUGUCGCAGUUUUAUCUGGUAAAGCGAAUGAUUAGAGGUCUUGGGGGCGAAACGCCCUCAACCUAUUCUCAAACUUUAAAUUGGUAAGAAGCCCGACUCGCUCGUUUGGAGCCGGGCAUGGAAUGCGAGUGCCAAGUGGGCCACUCUUGGUAAGCAGGACUGGCGAUGCGGGAUGAACCGAACGCCGGGUUAAGGCGCCCGACGCGACGCUCAUCAGAGCCCACAAAAGGUGUUGGUUGAUAUAGACAGCAGGACGGUGGCCAUGGAAGUCGGAAACCGCUAAGGAGUGUGUAACAACUCACCUGCCGAAUCAAUCAGCCCUGAAAAUGGAUGGCGCUGGAGCGUCGGGCCUAUACCCGGCCGUCGCGGCGGUACGAGCAUCGAGUUGGUGCGCUAGGCCGCGACGAGUAGGAGGGCCGCGGCGGCAGGCGUAGAAGCCUAGGGCGCGAGCCCGGGUGGAGCAGCCGUCGGUGCAGAUGAAGUGGUAGUAGCAAAUAUUCAAAUGAG
rnacentral:ncRNA from 1 species